rnacentral:lncRNA from 1 species
AUAUUCCUUGAACAAUGGCUAUGAGUUUCUGAUAGACCCAACCCCAUCCUGCAUGUGACCCAUUACUGACUGUAUAUAGACAACAGGAAAGCACGUAACACAACUCCUACAAAGCCAUAACAUACAGUACCUGCAACGGUGUUGAUUCAGUUUGUAUCAAAAAACGAGUGAUGGUCAUUUUGGCUACAAACAAAAUGAUUGAGAACUUCAGAUCGAAAAAUGAACCAAAAAACAAGUGAUGAUCAGACUAUCCCCGAUUACAAACCUAGAAGAAUAGUUUGUUGUUGUGGAUGGAAUUCCAUGCGAGCUCCUUACAUUAGAUCCUUGAAUAAGGGUACGGACAACAGCCUUAGGAAGAUCAUCUUGCGAAUAGACAUUGGAACCAGAAAAGGACCCCUGAAAGACCAUGGUGAGCAUAGGUAUUUUCGUCAUUAUUUGUACUAGAAGAAGGGUGAGUGAGAUCUUACUGCUUAUUACAAGUAACAAAACAUGGUAAUUGAGCUUGCAAAAAAAUUGUUUCUUGUCACACCUCAUCAGCUUGGACAGUGCGAAUACGCUUCAUCAAGUGCUCUGAAUCAGCUGAUUGAUAAUCCAUCCCUGUAACACCUGUACGGGUCCGUGGGUGCUUCCAGAAAGCAACUGCGCUAGAAGGCUGCAUCCAGAAGGAGCUGCUGCAACAGUAGUGGUGGCGCAAAGAAGGAUUAGCGCUUCACAUUCACCCAGCAAUGGCAGCAGGAGAUGGGAAGACAGCAGGUUGAAAUGGCUGCACAACGAUAAAUAGUCAAUCAUAUCCAAAGUACUGUUAGAAAUUGUUGCACUCUUUUAUGCCGAUGAUUAGGUGCAACUUCCACCAGGGGCACCAAUAGGAGGAAAUGCGUCAGUCUUUGGAAUUGGUCCUAUAAGAGAUCUCAAAUGCUUGGGCUAGAAGCCAAAUAUUUUAGUCCGGAAAUUUUAGCUUUUAGCCUAGAAACAGUUUUUCUGCUCCAACCGUUCUGGCCUAAAAUUUUAGUCCUGGAUUAUUAAAGAAUGAACUUAGGCUAUUUUUUUUUGUUAAAUUAAAUUUUAAAAAAUAAAUAAAUAUGUAGACUAUCGUAAAUUAAUUUUAUGAACAUUUUAAUCUAAAAAAAUUUUAAUUCCGAUAAAUAUUGAAAAAUCACUAAAUUUUUCUCAAAGCAAGCCUUCAACUUUCACCAAUCUUUCAACCCUGGUGAAUUUUAAGUUAAAUAAUUUUUUUUAAUUAUUUUAGCCUUUGGAUUUAAAUUUGGGUCGUUAGAUAAUUUUUUUACCGUUAGAUUUGAUUAUAUUCGAUUUCAGUCAUUGGAUUCAAUAAUAUAUAAAUAUAAAAACAAAAAAAAAAUUUGAAUCUAGGCUAUUGGAUUAACCAACGGCCUGUAGAUCGUGACCGUUGGAUGGAAGUAGCCAUUGGAGGCGCUGCAGAACAUGGCCAACAGGCCCACGUGGGCGGGGCCCUCGCUGUCUGAGGCAUUGUGUGUCGUGCGAGUUGGGCGAGUGGGUGGGCUGCGUUUGGCGCACAAACGCCCCUUUUCACUCGGUUCGGUGGAGCCCACCCUGAUUUCUAGGUUAAAUUUUGGGGGGAAUUUGGCAUUGAUUUAGCAUUUAAUAUUUGGCUCAAAUUUUCCCCUUGGGUUGGAUUGGGUUUGAGGGGAAAUUUUUUGGGGGGGGUAAUUUGGCUUUUAGCCUAUCAUUAGAGUUGGUCUAAGAGGACUAUUUCAUCCACCUACUCGCCUGAGUUCACUCACUUAACUCGGUCUCUGACUCCUUCAACUCGCUUGUCAACUCGGUUCCCGACUUCGACGAGUUGAACGACUUAUUUUAUGAGUAAAUUGAAGGUGAUUGAUGUCUACAAUUUGAAUGAGUAAAUUGAAGGUGACAGCCAUUGUGCACUAGGGUUUCAUUGGCCCCGUAUGUUGCCAUUCAUACUAUUUUUGUCUUCUUUUAAUUUUUGUUUUAUAUUUCUGUAAAAUAUUCAUGCUGAACUGUUUCAAGUAAUGUAUGUUGUCAUCCACAUCAAUUAUCAAAGCCCUAACAGAACAUGCCCCCACUCUAUUUUAGUGAUUGAUGAUGAUGCGCACCCAUAAAUUAUACCUUUCAUUUUGUGGCCAAAACCCUUUCUGCCGAAAUGGAGAAUAUCCUCGUGUCUAUAGUAGUUAUCACGUGCAGUGACAUUCUGUCACUGGGGGAUCGAUAUAUCUUCUUGUGUCUAUAUCACUUAUCACAUGUCAUUCACGUUAAAAUAUGUUUAAUCAUUCGGAUCAUAUUCAAUUUGUUGUUUUUGGCCUUCUCUUCCCGGCCUAUGGUUUCAAGUUUUCACUUGCUGCAAUAUAUUUCUUGAUGUCCCACAAUUCAUAGAAGUCAGUUUGACCAAGAAAUAUAGCUAUUAAUAUAUGGGUUGGUCGGAUGCUUAAGUGAAAUUAGGGGACAAAUUAUCCUGAGUUAACGGCUUUAACGCACGAAAAUCAUUUUCAAUUUUCAAGGAGGGAAUGUUACAAGCUUAGCAAACUUAUCAAAUUUUUGUGAUGUGUUAUAAAAUAAUGUAAUGUGAAACAAUCACAAGCCAUAAAAUUUGGGGUGAUGUUAGAGAUACCAUAUACUUGAAUCAUACUCUAUAAAUCACAUGAUGUGGGAGUUGAAGGUUGAAAUUGUUUAAAUCACUAAAAAAAAAAUUCAAUCACCAACCAUCAUAUCAUAUGAUUAACAAAAAUUUGCUUUGUUAAUUAAUUAUCUUGUUCAGGUCCUCAAGUAAUCCUUUAAAUAAGGAUUAGUGUAACUUUUGGGUUCGGUAAACCAAGGCACCAAGAGUUGAUAUAAUUGGUCAAGUGAUUAUUUAAAUUAAUUAACUCAAAAUUAGGAGGAAUAUUUUAGCCAUCUAAACACUACUACGUUACUUUUUUCUCUUAUAUUAUAAAACGCGUGCUUGUUUUUUAACUAAUAUAUCUCAAAAAUAAAGUUUAUAAAUUACGUUGUUCACACGUGAAAUAAUACAUCAUGUAACAAGUAUUAUGAAAACAAAUAAAAAAUCUCCAAAAGUAGGUGCUAGGAAGGAAAACAUGAUAUAGAUGAAGAUAUAUGGAAAAAUCUUACAAGAACAAAAAUACUAACUUUGGUCAAUAAUCCAUUUGGCGUGGAGGAAGCGUCAUUUGCUCUUCAUAGCUGAAUGGAUAGGCUCGCGGUUGAAUUUUUGAAUGUUUAUUUGGGCCCCACGUGUUUGUUUUUCUUUUGUAAGUGGGUCCACCUAAGUUGGACCAACCUAGAUAAAGAGAGAGGUUAUUCUUGUAAAGAUGGUGAGGUCCAAAAAUGGAAUGCUAUUUUUUGUAUUUAGUUUCCAAAUUUUCGCUUAAGUAGGAAGGAAUGCUUUCUCUUUGUUUGUUGCAUGCGUAUGUAACCCCUUGCCAUUGUUGAAACUUGAAACCUUUUAGUAUUCUACGAGUGAAAUUAUAUACAUUUUACGUUUCGGUAAUACUAGGAAGACAAACUAUUUAAAUGAUAUUUUGUAAAUCAUAUAAAAUGGGUGUUGAUUAUUGAAUUAUCUUGAUUAAUAUGUUUAUUUUAUAUUUAUGACAUAUCACAUAAUUUACAAAUUUGGUUUAAAAAGUUGGUCUACCUAACAUUAUUCUUUACGUUUUUUGUCAACCAAAAUAGAGCUAAAGCAUGUGUUUUUCUAAUCUAAAACCACAUAGAAUCCGACCAGAAAAAGAACAAUAUAAAGUUCGAAUUGGUGUUUUUGUUUCUUCAAAACAAGUUAUAGUACGAGAGGCUGAAAUCGAAAAUAAGACUUCGAGCACAAAGCUUUUAAUCACAUGACUAGUCAGUUUAAUGACUUCGGUCUUUAUUAGGUAGAAGAGAUUCUAAGUUCGACUCACAAUUAUGCGAAAACAAUAUAUAGUUAUAAUAACUAGUGUGUUCAAUACUAAUUUGUAGCACAAUUUAACAAAUUGAUGUAAAAAUAUCUUCAUGCAUAUCAUAUUAUUUAAAAAAAAAUCACUUAAAUUAUUACAAGUAAUAUUCUAUAUUAAUUUACACUAAAAGGAGAUCUGCACUAAAUUCCUAGUAGUUGAUUUAAGUCUUCAAGCAUGCUUCACUUCAUUUCUCAUGUAAAUUUCUUAUUAAGAUGAGAAAUGGAAUACAAGUAGAUUCCAUUUUAGCUUUUUAUCCGAACUAGUAUGAAACAUGAGUCAUGCAUCCAAAGUAGUAUGAACAUCAUGAGUCAUGCAUAGGUGAUAGGUAAUAGGCCUUCAUGGGAGUGUAGUGUGUAAUUCCUAUCAAAUUUUCAAAUCAAAUAGUUGAUGAAAGACCAAAGGAUAUGAACGAACGACAUGCCGUAUGAAGCAAUGGGCAGGCUUGAAUCGAUUGCAAGAAAUGGUAACCCUAAACAUUAUUUAUUCUUUUACGCACUUUAAUAGAAUCCGACCUCAACUAAAUUAAUUAUUUUCAUGCAUAAGAAUACUAGAUUACAAUCAACCAACAUUUAGCAAAUUUGAAAAAGAGCCAAAAAAAUGGUAUGAUUCACUUAUUUUUAUUUUUUGAAUUGAGAGAUUCAUAAAUCAGAAUCGUAAUGCAUAUAUUAAUCAAACAGAAAUAAUGUACGAUUAUAAUUAAAAAAAAAUGUAGUUGUUAUUUCUCUUAAAUUAGUUAAGCAGCAUUUCGUGACUAACGAGAAGAAUUAACAGGGCAAGAGAAUAAGAGUAAUUAAUGUUAUACUUGCCACCUAAUUAUACCAUGAUCUGUACUAUCUUUCUAAAAAUUAUAAUUCACAAACUAAACAUAUAUUAUGAAGAAAGGAGAGUACUCGGUAUCACAACUACUGCAGAAACCCGAAAAUUCUCUCGUGACGUACGAGAGUUUGACUGAGGUCUUGUGGUCAGAUAAUCGGACGACGGUUGUUCGUUAUUUAAUUGAUUCGAUGUGAUGGAAGUAUGGAUUAAAAUGGAAACACCAGCGCAAAAGCCUAAAUAUUCUCUCUCCUUCUUCGUCAUCGUCGACACGUUUCGCCACCACAUGAGCUCUCCUCUGGUGAAAACCUCUCGGCUCCUGCAACGUGUCCACUGCCUCCGUCGCCUUCAGCAGUCGCUUGCCGCCGUCACCAUUUUUGCAAAAUCCCAGCGCCAGCUACUGCACCAGUUUUCUUGACAUGUUUGGAUUAUAUAUGUGUUUUAUAUUGACUAAGACCCUAAAUCAUGUCGUGUUCGGUAUAGGGCAAAUUCGGUGGUGCUAUACAUAUAUUUAUUUUAUCUUUCACACAUUUAUUAAUUUUGAGUCUCCAAAUUAAAUGAAUUUAAAAAAAAUUAAUGAACAAAAUUUAACAAGAAUGUGUAAGAAGUAAAAAAAAAAAGUGUAAAUAGGAUAACCUAUUCAAUUACAUGCGGUGUUCUAAACCUUUCCUAAUGUUUUUUAACUUGCCAUAUUACAUUUUAAGUUGCUAAUAAGUUCUUAUCGUAUAUGUAUUUUAGUUGGCAUGCUUGUUCUAAUUAAUUCUCAACAUUAUAGAGACACUUACAAGCAUCUACUCUAUAUAUUGUCGAUAAAACAUGUAACAAUAGUUUACAAAUAUCUCCAAUGUUGUUGUCUGUGUUGCUGUUGUCGUUCCUUUAAUAUGCAGUCUUGCAAAAAGUUGCAAGUAGCUGCCCAAAUUAUAUAGGUAAAUAAAGAACUGAGAUCUUCUCCAGAUUUUUGAGCCUGACGAGCUUAAAAACUUAAAGAUCUGGGCCGUUAAAGAAAGAGAUUAGGACUCUUAGUUUGUGUAAGAUGGACUAGUAUCAUGGAUUAAUGAGAAUCGUAGAAUUGAAAUUAAGUGUCUGAAUCUCUUAGCAUGCGCUCUGAUUCAUCCUUUACGUUCAAGAAAGACAAAUGGAAAAGUAAAAAGAAGAAACUUGGUAAAUACAGAGAGGUAAUUAUGCAGUGCAUGAAAAUUCAUCCCUAGCUACCUCAUUCUCUAGUGGUCAGAAAGAACCCACCAAAGUGUAAAGGGCAUACACACAAUAGAUAGAUAGAAAUGGAUUUGGAUCCCAUCCGGAUCCAAAUUGUGGGAUCCUCACAUCUUAAUCAUUCUUCGUACAUCGCGUAGUCAGAAAUCCUUUGAUUUGUUUUUUUUAAAUUAAACACAAUUAAUACCUAACGAAAACUGACCGAACGAUAUACGAUAAAUGGAUAGAAUGCGAUGAUCCCAAGGAUCCUCACAAAAAGAAUCCUAAGAGGAUCCUCAUCCGAUAGAAAUAGAUAUAGAUAUACUCAUUAUAUAUAUAGACUCCCACACGAAGGAUGAAUAGCGACAUUGACCAUAGGAAAAAUAAUUUAUAUUCUACUAAACUACUUAUGUGCAUGUACACAUUAUUCUCAAAUGUAUGUACAUGAACAGUAACUCAAACGAGGGUUGGUUCAGUUGGUCAAGUUCCUACCUUGUAUGUCUCUCUGCCCAAGGUUUGAAUUUCACUGCUAACAAUCUUCGUUGGUGUGCGAUAUGUAAAUUCCUAUAUAAAUGCAUAUGAUGCUGGUGGUAGUUGAUAGUUAGGAGUGUAUGACGCUGAUGAUGAGAGUAACCAAUAUCUCCCAAACUUUUUAUUACAAAAAAAAAAAUUGAUUUAUAUACACACCUCUUCUCUUUCAGGCACGUUUGUUUACCUAUGAUUUUGAUUUAUUUAUUUUAUUCAAUUCAAAAAUAAAAAUAAAUAUAAACGUGCAUAAAAAAUAGUGUGUGAAUAUUGUUCUCAUGUAUACAUACUAUGAAAACGAAAGCAGUAAAAGACGAAACUACCGUCUCUCUCCUCUCUCCUCUCUCUUCUCUCUCUCACACAUAUAGUUGGCCAACACAUGGAACCGCACCACAUGUACACAGUACCAUCAUCUCUUUCAGCAUAGUGCUUCAUCUUUGCCUUUAAGACUAUCUGGGUUUGAAAAGUGGGUGGUUUUUCCUCUCUCAAAAGACUCCACAUAGCUUUUUCUCUCUACCCUUUUCUCCUCGUUAAUCCAUGGACACAGCUCACUGGCCACAGGUAAAGCGAAAACCUUUUCUUUUUUUCCUCCAUGAAAUCAUGAAAUUAUCAUCUAGGGUUGAGUUUUUCAAAGUUAAUAUUUAUAAGAAAUAUCUUAAGCUUAAUAGCUUUGGGUUUGGAAAAUUAUCUUCCUUCAUAUAUAAGUUGGUUUUAAAGUUGUAUUAAUUUGCUUUUCUUCUUUCCACUAAUAGUGGCUGAAUUUAUAUUGUUGUAUCUUCCAAAGGUCUUUCAUUUUUUGUCCUGAAAAUUUAAAGUACUGCACUUUUUCUUUUCUUUUUCUUCUUCCCAUCAUCUGAUAAAGUAGGUUGUUUUCUUUCCUUUUACUUUCUUCUCUCCAUCUUUGUCUUAAUUUUUUCGGAGUGACAACAUAUAUACUCUUUUUUGGUGGGUUUUCGAUCACCAAAGUUAUGGCCUUUUCUUGUCGCUUUUUUUUUUUGGGUUUAUUUUUAUAUUUUAUUUUCAGGGUAUUGGAGUGGUUAACUCCAUGGAAGAUUUUUCUUCUACAAGGCCAAUCACAGAGAGAAGGGCAAGGCCUCAAAAGGAUCAAGCUUUGAAUUGUCCAAGGUGCAAUUCCACCACCACAAAAUUCUGUUAUUACAACAAUUACAGCCUCUCUCAGCCAAGAUACUUUUGCAAGACUUGUAGAAGGUAUUGGACUGAAGGUGGAUCUCUGAGAAAUGUUCCGGUGGGUGGAGGGUCACGGAAGAACAACAAGAGAUCAAAUAAUUCCGAUUCAUCAUCACCGUCCACGUCUUCAGCGAAGAAGGUUGCUCAUGAUCGUGAUCACCAUCUGACCCCACAAAGUAAUUUUCCUUCUCAGUCUGCUUCUCAAAACCCUAAUAAGAUCCACUUCCAAGGUCAAGAUCUCAACCUUGCAUACCCACCAGCUGAUCAGGAACAUGACAACAAUAAUAUUACCGAACUACCCUUCAGUAUGGAGACUAUUGACAACAGAACCUACCACCACCAAAACCCUAGCUCCUCAGCCACUACUACCACAUCUCAUCAUUUCUCAUCGGCUAUGGAACUGCUCAAAAGUACUGGGAUUGCAUCAAGGGGGCUGACUUCUUUCGUGCCGAUGGCGGCGGUGGAGGUGCCGGAUCAUUCGAGUAACAUCACAAUGUUUUCAUCUGGGUUUCCGAUGCAUGAGUUUAAGCCAAGUGGGCUUAGUUUUUCUCUAGAUGGGUUUGAGAGUGCUGGAUUUGGUGGCUGUCUUCAAGGGGUGCAAGAGACUACUAAUACUAGUCAUGCAAGGCUUUUGUUUCCUACUGCUCAGGAUUUGAAGCAGCAGAUUCCGAGCUCUACUACUGCUGCUGCUGAUUUUGAUCAACACAAUAAUAGAGGAGGAGAAGGAGGUUCCGGUGGUGGGUAUUGGAAUGGAAUGCUAGGUGGCGGAUCAUGGUAAUGCAAUUGCCAGAAAAGAAACAAAAAAAGUAGUGAUCUAGAAGAAAGAUCGGUAUUUGGUUUUGUUUUUCUUCAUUUGCUUGGAUGGCUUGUUUGGAAUUGGAGUUGAUAACGAACAAAGUAAUAGGGUACAUGAGUUUUUCUUCCCCUUUUUCAUCAUCAGUGUUAAUUAUACUUGAUCUGCCUUGUUCUUUCUCCCUCUCGGUUUUCUAGUAUGCUUAGGAUAUCCUGUACACCAGAGCAUAGUAGAAUUUUCGCUCAUUCUCACCCUCCUCCUUAUUAUUUUUUUUCCUUUAUUUUGUCCUUAAUCAAUGUGCAUGUUUGAAAAUUUAUUAUUGGUUUUGCUUCAAAGGGGUGUCUCAUGAAUCAUGAGGAAUUCUUUACAAAUAUUCAUGAAAAGAAGGUCAAGGAUUUCCCCUAUUUCCCUGUUAGGGUUUCAUAACGCAGAGAAAUUACAUGAUUACUCCUAUAGAGAUUACUUCUUGAUCAUCUACCACAUGCAGCAGCGUACGAUGCAGUUCUUUAGGAUUUCCUGCUGAAAUUCAAUGAUUUAUUUUCAUUAUGUUUUCGGUUAGCUUAGUUAACAAGUGUCGGUAAUUAAUUUGUCAAUUAAGUUGUGUACACAGAGAUUAAGGACUUAUUUUAUAUGUUUACUUUAGUAGUUAACACUUGGAUUUGUGGGUUGAUUGUGUACGUAUUUAGAGAGUGUAUUAGCAGUUGAGGUUGGAUUAUUUAUUGGUUAAGUAAUAUUAAAGGUGAGUUGGAAUGAUGGCUGUCAAUCCUUUAUUAGCAAAAGUUUCUUCUUUUUGCUUGGCAACAGAUCAGAAAUGUCAGGUCUUUUCAGCACCAUCUGCGCCUUUGAGAUUCUUCCACCCAUUAACUCCACCACCCCCCACCUCCCUCCUGCUCUUCAUGAAUCUUCAUCAUCACCCGCACAAGGAGAUGAUUUUUCAAGAACAAUGAGUAGGUAUGCAAGACCCAAACACUAUUUAUUUUAAAUUAAAUUCUAUAAACCCUAAGCAAAUCUGGGUCUGCCGUCAACAAUAUAAAUUAGAGAACUCUGCUUUUAGGAACUUCAUUUUUUACGGUAACGAAAGUGAGACGAUAGAUUCAAUCUCCCUAAGGCUCAUGUAUAAUAUAAGACUACCUUUGCAUUUAAGAAAACAUGAAAAAAAAGGGGUGAAUAUGUAAGAAGUCUUUUAUAUGAUGAAUGCAUAGUUCGGUGGUCCUUCACCUAUUUUCAAAGAGCUCUCGAACCCCUUGACUAACUUGCACUCCCUUCGUUAUUGACCCAAAAAAGAAAAGAAACUUGCAGUACUCCCUUUGUUGGCUAAGAAAAGUUUUUCAAAUUGCGGAUACUUCAUAUGUUAUAAAAUAAGUAGAAUAAUACAAAAAAAAAUAUAGUGUUUUCUCCACUUAUAGUAUCAUGCAGAGUACUGCUUAAAUAUCUAAUACUUAAAUUUCUCAUUGGCUAUGGAGGGCCACCACAAACAUUCCCAUCCGUCGGUCACCAUGCUAGGGAAUAAUCUUGUCCACUCUACAAAAUCCUCCCAGAUGUAGACCCUCAUUCAUUAAUUAAUAUAAUAUGUAAUUAGAUUCAUACAUUGAGAUAAGAUAGAUUGACUUUCUACUUUCCAUAUAGUUGUUCCAUCUUUUUGUCUUGGUAAAUCGAUGAGAACUAGCUACGGUUAUAGCUCCUCUUGCUAGUCACAGUGAUAUAUGUAGAUGGAGGUGCACCACCCACCAUGAACAUCCCUUUCUUGCCAAAACUUAGGCAUCUACAAUCUACUCCACCAAUCUCUCCUUGCUUUUCACUUUUAACAUUUUUUUUCCUCGCAAAACUUGUUAAGAUAUAUGGAAAGAUUCUCCUAAUUAUGCCACUAAUGCACCACAUAUCAAUCGUCUUUUUAAACACGACAAACAUUUAGAUAUGGGAUAGCAAGCUGUUUUACAUUUUUACUAUAGUGAAUCUUUUCUUUCUUGUUUGUACAUAUUUUUGUCAAUGAUAAGCAGUCGAAUUAAAGGGUACAUUUUUGCGCACCAUCCUUGGUGAUGAUGUUCAUCACCCUAUUUAUCGCGGUUAUAUGUGUUUAAAUUUUGAAAUUUGUGUCUAUCUAUUACACAGAUUUUGAAAUUUAAACUCAUCUGGUAGUACUAAAUAGGACAAUGAGCAUCACAAUCACUUAAAGGUGUCGAGCACAAAUACUCCCCAAACUUGUUUGUGCAUUGGGAUCAUAUAUAGUAUUGGGUAGCAGAAGUUAUAGAACGUUGGCCGGAUACAGUACGUACUACCUACACAAUUUACACAACGCAUGUAUAAUCCAUCAACUGCAUACAUGCCUACAGUUAUACAUUUGUUCAUUACCUUAGGAUCAUUUUCCUGCUUUUUGGGUGAUACUUAACCAUGUGCCAAUUAUAUAUUUCUCAAAUCAUCAUAUCACCUUCAUUAGGGUUCUAAUCACCACGUCUCCUGUAAAGCGUACUGCUGCUCAAAUAUUACAGCUAGCUAGUUGCACAUUAAAUAAAUUUGAUUUUAUGGUAGAAUCCUAACUUUUUUACAGUAUGUGAAAGUAAAUUGGUCUUUUGACUGGUGUAAAAUUACCACACACACAUGACUCUCAAUUGCUAAAACCGUAAAAAAGUUUGAUGGAAUCAAGUUAUCUUUGAACUGCGAUAAAUAUCAUCAAAUUACAAGAACCUAUAUCACGGCAGUUAAAACUACAAGAACUAAACUGUAACUUCAUGCAGCAUUGGUCCGGCAAGUAAUUUUAUGUUGUCAACAGAUUUGAAAUCUUAUAGCCAAGCCAGUCCAGCUCCUUAUUCAGGCUCUUCUUUUUGCUAGAAUAAAAAAUAGCAAUAGUACAGGUACAUGAUAUGAUGCCUCUUGCGUACAAAAACCCUAAAAAACUUCAUCGCAUGGAAAAACCCUACUACUCCUCUCAGUCCGCCCUCUUACGUUAAGGUACUGCUAUUCGGAUGGCUCAGAUGGCUCAGGAUGAUGAUCAUGCUGCUCCUAAUCAGAUGGCUCAGAUGGCUCAGCGUGAUAAAGGGUUUUGGUAGCAUGUGGUAACAAGUAGUGAAGUCCAAUCAAAGUAUUAGGUUUCGGAGAUAUUUACGCUUAUAAAUUUGUUCUUUCCAAGUACAGCUAUCCAGUUUACUAUUAUUUCAACCUGGCAACUAUUUCCUGGAAACCUACUAGAGGAAAAAUCAAAGGUGCAUUUGUUGCACCGUACUAUUUCAAACUAUAUUAACUUCAGGGACUAAGGUGUACUCAGUAAUAUAAGAACAAUGAAGCGUUUGGUACAAUGUUGGCCUAAGCUAUGGGAGAUGUUGACAACUCUAGUUAUGGGCCCCAGAUGCUAUGAAUUGUAUAAAAAUGCUACAAAAAACUCCUAUAGCAUUUGAAAAAUGCUAUGGAAAAAGUUUAUUAUAGCAUUUUGGAAUUGAUAUAGUAUACUUUUCAUAGCAUUUACAAGCUAUAAAGGGUGAUAAUAGCAUUUUACACUUUCUAUAUCAUGGCCUAAUAUAUCAAGAAGCAAGCGGCCUUUUAUCACAGUAGUAGAAAAGUAUUGUGCUCUUGCAUGAUGACGUGGAUUCAAACCUCAUCGGUUGCUAAUUUAAUAUUUAUUCUAACAAAAUCUAUCGUUUCAAAAAUCUGUUACUCAGAAUAUUCAUUUACAAGAAGAGCCAUGUCGUAGAUGUUACAGAUACAAUUUUCAGAAUCUAAAAACAGCUCUCUGGUUGGGGAUACUCGACUGAAUGUGUUUAAUUUUAAGCCUACUUCCUUCAUCAAACACCGUCUCCAUGAUAUAACCGCCGUCAAACUUCAUAAGAACAGCUAUAAACCUACGGGCAGCAGAAAACAAAACUUUGAAAGCGGAGUAGGCGGGUGACUGUCCGUGACUGUUAGAACUUAUCAGACUUACAUAACAAUAAACAAACAAUAUACAUGGCCUUACCAUGAUUUGAAACUACGUGCCUCGGCGAUACUCCAAUUGCUUUGUAUUCUCUAGUAAUACCUACCAUAGAAAACCCAGAUUAAAAUUCCAAUAAAGAUGGCAAUACUGCAACAAAAAAUGAAGCAAACUCUCAUUGAGCAACAAGCACUGUCCAAAUACAGUGGCUACAUGUCAAGGCAGAACUUAUCACUGCAGGGGAGGAAAAAUAGAGCAAAAAAGUGCUUACUUGUCGAAUAUAUGUUGCAACUGCCUUGCAGCCCUCGAUUGCAAGUUGCAUUACGUUUUCAAAAAUGUCCAACGGUAAUUUAGCAUCCAUCUGCAUCAACGAUCAUCACGAAUAAGUGGUUUACAAAAGGCGCUACAAAGAAGACACUGUACAUGCCAACUAACACAACAAUUGUAACUUAACAUUGUGACAACAGAUUGAGAAACAAAUAUGACAAUUACCUGAAGAAGAGUCACUUUGUCCAACUUUGGCAUAAUGCCUAAAGUGACAUCAGCGCCUCCAGCACUAUCUUCUACAUAGUUUAAAUCUGCCAAACCAGCAACAAUAAGCUCACAUGAAUAUUACAAUGGCCUUACAGGAGCCGUACAAGCAUAAGGUAACGUAAAAGUUUACCAAGUAGAGGUGUGCUAUUAAGGUAGCCCGCACUACAGGAAGUAACAAGGUCACGCAUUGGAAUUCCAGCAUCUGAAAGGGCCAGGGUUGCAGCAUUGAUACAUGCAGAUCUAGUACCUGCCAAAGAUAAAAUAAAUAAAAUAAUCGAACUCAAGGAUAGAUCUUUCCGUUCUUCAAUUAAAACAUUGAAGCAACCUGUUCAAAUCCAAAAGUAUUUGCUAAAUAGUAAAUAGUUAACAUUCUAACCGAUACACAUAUAACAGGGACAACCAUGGUACUUUGUUAACAGUGAACACUAUCGAUCACAUCUCUAUUUCCAUACGAUGCAACAACAGCGAUAACUAUUAAUGAACUGCCUGCAGCAUAGGUUGACCCUCAAACACGAACUACCUCAAUAGUAGUUAAAAAACAGAAACAAACAAACAGCUUUAAUAAAUUCAAAAACAAGUGGUUAACGUACAUGAAAUGACAUGAGGAGGCUUCGUUUUUCAGAAAAUAAGCCUGGAUCUACAAAUAUCUUGACUGACAGGACCAAACAUUCACACACACAAAGGAAACAUAUCAUAUAGGACCUACGGCUGCAAUGAGACAUCGGGAUUUACCUCCAUCUGCUUGGAGAACUUGCACAAAAAUAUCAAUCUGCAGUAAACAGAUACAAGGCUCAGAAAAGAACAAACUAAACAUUCAUCGAAGAAAAGUUCCCAAGAUGCAUCAGUAGAACCUGAGUCCGAGGCAUUAAAUGAGUCAUAAUGCAUGCUUCCAUGGUUUGCCGAAUAACAAGAGAAAUCUCUGUGGAUCGUCUGGACAGCAUCAAAGAUACACAUUUUAAUGCUAUAGUUUAAUUUAGUUAUGGAUACAACACUCUUAUGUUGAAUUUUAUAUUGAUGAUGAUCCAAAGCAUGUAUCUAUGAACAUGAAAUAGAAUAGAAUAUAUCACCUAUCACCCUUUGGUUUCCUCAUGCGAUCUCCAGUACUAAAAUUUGCCAUGGUGUACUCACAUCGCACCUAAACUUAUUAACAGUUGCAAACGACAUUACAUAUGCCUGUCAGGUUUAUCAUACUAACCACAACAUAGAUAAGUUUAACACACAGAGACUUAGAUGAGAACUAUUACCAGUGCCCUGUCAUUCAUCUGUUGGCUCCUAUUUGGGACCUAGAAAACAAAAGUACAUUAACAGCUGGAAUGAAUUAAAAUUGAAAAUUGUACAAGACCUUUUAAAUAAUAAUGAGUACCACGCACAAGAUCAUUAAAAUUUUAUAUCAAAAUUAUAGAAUGAAGAGAAAGUGUUGGCUAACCUCUCGAGGGCCAUACACUGCAGCAAUGACUUUGGUGUUCCCCAUCUCAAACACAGCAGAACUGAAAUUUGAUAUGAAAGAUCAUUUUUUUUUUUUUUAAAUUACAAAGAUUAGAAAAGAAGAAUCAAGGCUUUAGUAAUUCAAACCCGUCAGCUUUGUCCACAACACCAAUCUCUCCUCGAAUUUGUCUCAUCUGGGAUCAGAGAAAAUAGAUUUAGUUCAUAAAUAUAAUUGACAACUUAUAACGAUUAUGAUUGAAUAAAAUGGAAAAUUGAGAGAUGGAAAAUUACUUCCAUGGGCCGCCGACCAUCUAAGCGAAGACCUUCUGGGCUCACGUACUCCAUCUGUUAGAACUUCGUAACAACCAACUUAGGAAACCACAUAGAUAACAAGAACAAAUAGUAGCUAAACCAAUCACUGUCUAAAAUUUAAACGCCAUGACAACCAAACUACAAAGUUCCAUAAAUUAAUGCAUAAUGGCUUUGUUUCAGCAACAAUAUGGCUAUGCUAUAUCAUGGUUCAUGCCUAUACUUAUCAAAAAAUUAGACAAGCAAGACGGAAGUAACAACAACAACAACAACAAAGCCUUUUCCCACUAAGUGGGGUUGGCUAUGUUGUUGUUGUUGUUAAAAGGAUUCGACGUAAACUAGGAGUGCCGGCUGUCGACUAACCAAAAGGAAGUAAUGAAAGACGGAAGUAAAUCAAGAAAAAAAUACUUCACUAACCAAAAGGAAGUAAUUCAAAUAAAGAACGCUAACUCUCAGAGAAGAAGCUAACUUUGUUUUCACCUUCCCUUCAACACCCUCAACAACUCUUUACACUCGCAAGAAAAAAUCAGUAACGAAAGGACCACCUUUUAUCUUUUAAUCAUGAAACCCAUUACAGCAGAAACCGUUCUCAAUUAAGACAAUGAACGGGUAUGGUGGAAUACUCAAAUCAUUGGAACCCACUUCCUAAUGACUCUCAAAUGCAGAAUAAACCACGAUAAUGUUAAUCUGUUAUGGGCAUACACUAAAUUUCUAAACACUAAAUUAGAUUUCUGACUCUCAAAGACAGAAAUUAGAUUUCAAAACACUAAAUUAAUUACCUAAUUUGGGGUGAGAGUGAGACUCGGACUCAGUGUGGUGGUGAGAGAGAUCGCGGGUUCUGUUCUGUCCGUGAGAGAAAAUCGCCCGAGAGAGAGAUCGUUAGAGAUAGCGGUGGUUGUGUGGUGAAGGAAGGCUGGAGAGUCAGAGACGACAGUAUGGUGUGGUGGUAGGCCGGUGGCUGGCCGGAAUUCGACAGAGAGAGUCAGAUGAGAGAUGAGGGCUCGGCGAGGGAGGGCUGCGCUUCGAGUUCGAUGGAUGGAAACAAAUGAACCACUGGAAGAUUUUGGAAUGGUUAGAGAGCAGCGGUUUUGUGUUAGGGUUUGAAAUGAUGAAGCAGUGCACUCAUGGUGUUGGGCUCCAGGUCAGAAAUAGUCCAGCCCGCAGCACUUUUGGGUUUUUAUUUUUCACCGCCUUCUUUGACGCUCUCAUGCAAAAUACCCGCGGAUCUGGGUUAUCCGCCUAUUUAAAUUUCACGGUUACAGUUAUGGGUAAUCGUUUAGAUAAAUAAACGGUUAUGGGUAUAACCGUUUACCCAUGAAAUUUUAAGGAAAACUAAUGAAAAGGGCUUGAAAACUUUGAGUUUUAAUGAUAAAGACAAAAUAAAGGGUAAAAUGAAUAGUACCAUGAUUGACUUUUUAGUGUAAAAAUGUGGUUUUUCGUUAAAGUGAACAGUACCGGGUGCUUUUCAUUAAAGUUCCCUUUAUUUUAUAUAUGUAAAAUUAACACAAACCAUGUUUUAUAUCUAACAAAACUUAGAUCAAUGCUAUUGACUAUAGUGCAUGGUUUAUAUAGCUAAUUAUAUAUAUAUAUAUAUAUAUAUUAUGUUAAUACUUUACAUUAUAGGUUAAAUAACUCAAGAAUAUUGUCUUCUAAACAGUUUUCGUAACAAAAAAUACUUAACAAAUAUUAUAUUACCUUCAUUGGUAACAUGGAUUAGUAGUAAAAGUUUUCCCAAAAGAUUAGGAAAAUAAAUAACAAUUCCCCUCAGCCCCACUCGUUUAAUUCAACCCAAGACCUGUUCCUCAAACAUGUUGCAACUUGCCAUUUCAACUAAUCCCUCACUUUUGUUAGCAUUGUUACUGCAAUUUAUAUAUCCUAUAUUCCAAUUUUGUUUUGUAAAACUAAUUUUCUUGCUUUUUCAUUCUAUAUCAAUUAAAAAUAUCGUUCGUAAAUUAUUAUUUCAAUUAUUGGAAUGAUAUAAGGACUGAAAAACUUAAAAUAUGGAAAUGUAUGAUGAAUGUACCUAUUACGGUGUUUAAUUGUUAUAAAAAAGAAAAUUAUGACAAUUUUGUUUUUUAAUUUUUAAGUUGUUAAAAAACAUGUAGACGGGUGAAAAUGGGUAAUGGUAAAAAAAAAAAAAAAAAAAAAGAUAAACGGGUAAAAAGUGUAAAUGGGUAAACGGGUAUUAAACGGUUAUGAUUAAAUGGGUAUGGGUAUAACCGUUUAGGCAAUUACCCAACGGGUAAACGAUUAUGCGGGUAUGAUCAUAAACAGUUAUGGGUAAAUAACCGCAGUUACCCGCCCGCCAUAACCGUUGCUCAUCCCUACUCAUGGCCCUUUUGAACCAGGUGUGCCCAUUCCCUUUUCUUUUCUCUUAUUUUCUGUUUUAUUUGUUAUUUUAUAUUUCUUUUAUUGUUUUUUUUCCUAUUUUUAUUGUCCUAGUUUACUUACUUUAUCUUUGUUAGUUGUUUUAAGUAUUUAUUUUAGGACUUAUUAUUUUUGUUCCUUUUCAUUUAUUUUAUUUUCCACACCUUAAGGACAAUGUGUGAUUUAAGUUUGGUGAAAGAAAAUAAGAACUUUUAGAUUUAUUUAUUUAUUUUUGAGUCAAAUAAAAAUUUUCAUUCUUUUGAAGUUAAUAUUCAUAGAUUAUUUUAAACGUUAUAACAAAUGAACAUGAUGAAGAUUAAUCUCAUAGUAGAGUCUUUCUAUUUUUCGUUGCUUAGACACUAAUUCAUGAGUAUACUUUGAAAAUUUGCACGUUCACACCAACAUGGUUUGUGGGAAGUGAGAUUGAAAUACUUACUUUUUGUCUGAUUUAAUUUUUAAUUUUUAAAGGCCCGUUACAUAAAGAGCCAUUACCGUUGUUUCUUUUUUACUAUUGAAGAAGAAAGGUGACUCAAUUUGUUGACUCUGAUCUGAUACACUGCAGAAAUUCUACCUUAUAGGUAACUUUUUGUGUAUUGUCUUGCAAAAACUGUUACAAAUUUGCCCAAAUAAAUUAAUACAAUUAUUUGUGCAUGGUACGUGGGACGGGACGGGACGAGGCGUUCCGUCCCGCGUUUGGUGCGCCAAAAAUGGAUGGAACGGGCUGUUCCACGGGACAGAUUUUGAGUGUUUUUGCGUUCCACCUCCCCCCUGGAACGGGUUUGUUCCACGUUUGUGGAACGCAAUGUUUUACCAUUUUAAGACAAAUAUACCCCAUGUCUUUUUCAAAAAUUACACCUUCGUUCCGUCCCGUCCCGUUCCGUUCCGUCCCGUCCCGUCCCGUCCUGUUCCGUUCCGUUCCGUUCCGUCUGCGUACCAAACGCACCCUAACUUAUAACUCAUUCGUCCUUCAUUCAUGUAGCUCAAUUCUCUCCUCGUAUUUUUUUCUCUGCUUCUUUCCAUGUCCUUGAUCGUAAGCGUAAAUCCUUCAACUUCUGUGCAGCACCUUGCAUUUUUGGUCAAGCGAAAGAAGGUCCUUUCAAUUGAUGCCCAAGCUUGGAGAAGUUCUUCUCCAUAAAAUUCCUUACUGAAAGCACCCAUCGCUAACGGUAUUACCAGCGCUUGAAGAACCCCUUCCAUCAUCACUUGUAGUCUUGAGUGAUGAAAAACAUCUUAUCAAAUGAUUCCCCCUUUCGAACAAUAAAGUUGUCCGUCUUAUAAAUCACGGGCUUAAGAUACUCGCAGAACACUUACAAACUCUUUCUCACUCACAUUUUGAAGCAUCCAAACCUAGAAGAAGACGCAGCAUUCAAGCAUGUUACUUUUUUGAUGAUACAAAUGCUUAUACGAAGACUUGGUAGCCAGUACCAACCUGCAAAUUUGCUUUGAGAUAUAUCAAAACGGAUAGCAUGCCGAUAACAGAUAUAAAAACUGCAAACAGGUUUUCCCAUGCAUAGCUGCUAGUCUGGAGGUUUUCCCAUGCAUAGCUGCUAGACUGGUUUUGGUUAUAUCCUUCUCGAGUUUCUUACGAAAAUCAUCAAAGCGUAGAACCCGGGUCAUGUAUUGCAGCACAAGAAGGAAGUUCAGAAACAUCCUCAUAGACCUCGAGCCCCUCAUUAUUUUUGCAAAAGAGCGAAUAAAUACCUGCAAAAACCGUAAUACAUUCUUAAACCAACAAUUAAAUGACGACGUUGAAUCCAUUAGGAACAUCUGUCCUAGUUUGUAGUAAUUAAUAUAGUUCAGGAAGGGAAAGGUCGGUCUCUUACAAGUGGAAUAGGAGCAACACCCAAAAUUAUCAAUUAAGAGGCAUGACCCCCAAAUUUUUUUAGCUAAUACAUAACUCCUGCUCCACCCCUUAGCGAUACCAUCCUCACGUCUCGCAGCCUGAUCCUCACGUCUCACAGCCUCGUGUAUAGCUCGAAGUUGAAAGAUAAUGUCAAGUACGUAAAAGAUAUAAGUGAAUAAUAGCAAACUAAGAACCACUGGUGUCAACUUUUUGUCCAAUCUGAUACACUUCAUGUCUUUGUUGAGUAUAGGAAUGUAAAAGAAUAAAGGAUCCACUGAGACAGCUAAACCCAACAUUAGUAGAAACACAUCAUUCCCAGCAAAGAAUUCGCUAGAUGAAUUACUUGGUCUAUAUUUUCCAUAAUCGAUAUCGGCAGAACUCUGCCCAGUAGUUGCUGCAGGAUUCCGGUUUGGACUACUGAACAGAACACAAGAAACAUGAAAUGGUACCAAUCAGGAACAAAAACACAUUAAAUUUCACAAACCUAAGCAUAAUUUAUUUGCCACAGAUUGAUUUAUUUGUAUAUCUGGUUUACGAAACUAACCUCGGAAUUUCAAUGAUCUCUUCCUCACGGGGAUUCAUGUAUAACCCAAAGGAGCUUUCUAUAAGUAUACCUCAAAGUUCUGUUGAUACAGUUGGUACCUGCAAAGAUGGAACAAAAUAUUUCAUGAAAUUUCGAACUACAACAUUCUAGUCCAUGCAUGAAUCCCGGCACUGAAGCGCACAACACCAGUAAUACCUCAAAUCAACGCCGCCUCAGAUUGGGAAACGUUCUUAGUGGAAAUUUGCAAACGAACAGUCUCGUUUUAUAAAAAACAAGUAAAGUUCAAUCAAAGUAUCAAGUAAGUUUCGGCGAAAUUUACGCUCUUAAAAUGUUUCCAGUUUAUUAUUGUUUCAACCUGGCAACUAUUUCCUACAACCUUACCAGCAGAAAAAUUAAGGAUUCCGAGAUUAGCUCUUAUCAAUGGGAAUACGUGGACCUGCAUUGAGAUCUGGUGUCGCUUAUUGACAUUGACAUUGUAUACAACAUGCUAUGUUGUAUCGACAGUCUUAAAGUAAUCAUUUUGCUGCUGGUUUUCACCUUUUGGUUGUGUUGUGUUUGUUUUGAUUCCCUGCGGAGAGAGCCCAUAAAUUGAACGGUUUUACCAACGAACUUCAACAAAAACAUAAUCUUUAGACACAAAUGAAGCAUUACGACCUCAGAAAAUAAGACGCCUUGCGUGAAAGAUGAGAAGCAACCAGACUCAUACGUUUUGCAUGAGACAGUGAGGGCAUCUGCUUCGCUUCUGCGAGGAUAUGCGUGUUUCGUGGUCUAAUCUGGAUAUUGCUUUUCUCCACACACAUUAAAGCAGCAUAUAGAACUGAUUAGUGAAUAUAUUACAAGAAAAUAGCAUACUUGAGAAAUGCCAUAGUUUAUUUACACAUAAAUUUGAUGAUUGAUGAUUUCCAUCUACAACGUUUGCACAAAGCAGACGGCAAGAAUCAAACCGCACAAAACAAUGAUAGAUUGUCAAGGAAUGCCAAGUUUCUGUACAAACACAAAUACUACAUAUAUAGGAACUGCAUAUUGGUACACUUAGCUUAAUUACAGCAAUCGGAACAAAUGGCAGAACCCUUUGCUACCAAUCUUCCUUCACAAUUUUUGACUUCUCAAAUAUGAACUUCCCUUCUUUGUACUUUUGCGAUGCCUCAUAAGCUCGUUCAUACUUCCAUCCCAACACCUCACGGCAAUCACCACAGUGGAUAUCAGCAACAGUAUGCAGACCAGUUAAGAGAUGCCUGUCUUCUUUUGCCCCAACAACGACAUUCAUCGCAUGGGAGAACAGAAAAGCUCGGCCAUGUCUUCCCUAUAAAAUGUUGGAAAACAACGUUAGACCCCACUUCCUAUUCUCACACCCAAAUAUGAAAUGAAACAAGACAUUCCGAUAUUUUUAGAUGCAAUACUUUCAUGUUACAAGAUCUGGCACAAAGAGCAAACUACGUGUUCGAUUCAUGUAAAAAUGGAAAGUUAUCUUCGGAUGUUCAUUGGUCCAUUCAGUUCAGUAUUGAUCACAGGCUUCACAGCCAAGAAACCUCAUGAUUAGUGACAAAGAAAAACGAAGAACAAAAAGCAGAGAACCUACAAAGACAGAGUCAACACCCCAAUUUCAAUUCUUCUAUGACAUUUACCCUUUGUGUAAAGGACGGUGAUUUUCAGACUCUCGUUUCUCCUCCUGCACUGUUGUUUCUAUGCAUUGGUUCUCCUUUACUCAAUUCAAUCCAACAGCUUGAGUAAAAAAAAAAAAAGGAAGGUGUGCAGGUGGAUAAAAAGGAGUGCGGAAAUCACAUGAAACCCUAUGCAAAUCAGUUUAAAGUUCUACAAAACUCAAUGAUCAUUUGGGAAGAACUAGUAAAAAGUCCAGAGACACAAAAAUUCAAAUAUUAUUUUCUCAACAAAUAAAAAAUCAAAGAAGAAUAAGUGAACAAUAAAUAUUGUGGAAACCUCACCUGAAAAGCCUUGGAAAUUAUAUCAUCGUGAAGGGAAACAUGGUUUCUGCAAUUACAACAGCUGUACAAUCUAGGCCCUACCAAAUUCGCCAUUAACAAAUAAGUCCACAGCUCGAACCUCUAAACACCUCUCACUGCUCGGCAACCAGAGAAAAGCAAAAGAAACAGAGAAAACUUACACACGGGAGAGUAAAAAUCUGUUAAAAUUAAAACACGAAAAUAUGGAUUAAGAGAAAGAUUAUGAAUUUAAUUACCAGCAACAAGAUCAACAGUGACCCAGAAGCCUGCAACCAAAGAUAAGAUUACCAACCAAAUUAGCAUGCAAGAUUCCAAAAGUAAAAUAUUAAAUUUUGAAAAUUGAAUGAUUGGGUUUUGAAAGAUACAGGAUUUGCAAUUAAGGGUAAGCAACAAGAACAUUUAGAAGAUUAAGAUUAACAAACCCAGAUUAAAAAUGAUUAAACAGGUGAAUAGGAAAGGGAAAGUUGGAGUCUUUGAAGUGAAAUUCAUGGGGUAUGACAAAAUUAAAAAAAAAAAGAAGACCCAUUAAUUAAUUAGGAAUUAAAAUCGGAAGGGAUGAGGAUCUGACCUGUUUAGCCAGUCACUAAUUGUGAUUAAAAAAUGAUUAAACUUUUUUAUGAGAGCAGAGAGAGUUGGGAAAUUGCUUUGUUCUUUUACUUGUAGAAUUGAAUCAAUUGAUUGCUAGCAAUUAGCAGUACAAUCAAAGUCGGGAAAUUGAUAGAGAAAUUGCAUUAAAUUAAAAGAAAAAGAAAAGCACUAACCUUUUAACAGAGGGCUGUGAGACUUGAGGGUUGCGUACAAACUCUAUGAGAGAGAGAGAGAGAGAUAGAGAUAGAGAGAGAGAGAGAGUUUUCUGCAAUAUUUUGAGUAGGAUGGACUUGGUUGGGUCACAAAGAGCAGAGUUACGCGCGCUCCGAUUGAGAGGCUCAACACGCGCAAGCUUAGCGGGGCUGUGCUACUGUUAACACAGUAGUACAAUGUGGCCCCUAGUUUAUCCCAAGUGUGUCAACUGCUAUACCAGGGGCGGGAGAACUAUAUAAAAUGAGGGAUGCUGUCUAUACAUUUCUUUUUAUCCUCUACAUAUCCUGUUAACAUUUUUAUUAUUUUUAAUUUAUUCAAUUCGAUGAUCAAAAAUUAAAAGCGACGUAGAAAAUAUAAAAUAAAAUGUGUGAAUAGUACCAUGCUGUGAAAGAUGAACAUCAAUAUGACAAUGUCUCAAAUUACAAAAAUUCUAUUGUGUGUGGGAAUUUUAGCCGUUAAAUUUUAGUUAUUUAUGUUUGAUCGAGAACUUGAUGGAAAGAAAAAUAAGAGAGUUUUUUUUUUAUGUCUGGAGCAUUAGUGUCCUGACAUUUCUGUUUAUAUAGGAGAACUUUAAUGAAAAACUUAUGGUAAUGUUCAUUUUAACUCAAAGUUUCCAAACUCAUUUCAUUAGUGUUUCUUUUAUAUAAUUAUUUUUAUGUGUCAAUAAUUUAACCACUGUUUUAACUAGUCAAUAAUAUUAACAAGGUACAUUUUGCGGGAAAUGUUGAAAAUACAUUCUGAUGGUAACAAGACAAAUUGAUAUAAAAAACUACCGUUUGUUACAUAGUUGGACUACUUCAAAGAUAUUUUGUUUGGAGAGAGGAUUCUUGGAGGAAUAUCUAGUGAGGAUUCUAAAAAUUCUCUAAUCACAUUCGUUCAUUGUAUAUUGUGCAAUUAGUUUUUAUUAGAUAUUAUUUAUAUAAAAAAAUUAUAAUAAUUUCUGAUCGCACGAUAUAUGAUAAACGGAUAUGAUUACAUGAUUCCCGAAAUCCUAAUAAAGAUAAUCCAGCGAGAAUGCUCCCGAUUUUUUUUUAGCCUUGUAUCUAGAGACGGAUUCGCGGAAAGCUAAACAUAAAAAUAAAUUAUUAUCAUCAAGUGGAGUUUUGAAUUCGGCUUGCACGGGUCAAAACUCAACCACAUGCGGGGAGCAAAUAAGAGAAGUUGGAGAGCAAGGAACUUUAAUUACCAAUGGAGGAUUUUAUUUAUGGAAAACUAAUGAAAUAAUAUUUAAAAAUUUUGAGUUUUAAUUAAAAUAACAAAAAGAUGUUGUAAGUAAUAAGUAGUACUAUAAAUAACUUUUUUAAGUAAAAAUAUCAUUUUCGUUAAAAGUGAAUAGUACCAGAAUGUUUUGUUAAAACUCGCUUCCAUUAACCGAAGUCCAUAUAUUACCAGAAAAUCCCCCCUUUCCAACUUUAAGAUUUUCCUUUUCCUUUUGAUGCAAUCUUUAUCAUUGCUCUUAUUCACCUUAAUCUUAUUGCUAAAUCAUCCAUUGCAUAAAGCAUGUGAAAUAUAACACACAUUAGUUUCUGCGCAACAUAUGCAGAGAACCAACAAGAAGAAGUACACAUUAUCCACAAAUGAUCGUAGUCCUUCGAAAAUCGAAUUAUUGUCGGUAGUAGGUACUGCGUUGUGAUGGGGUGACACGGCGGAAGUUAUAGACCAAAGGGAUCACGACCCUGAUCUUGUCAUGCAUCGUGAGGGAUUAUUAGUACUGCUUAGAAAUCUUUGCUCUCUCGAUUAUGAACAUCCCUUGCUUGUACAUCUGUGUCGGCUCAUAAGCUCGAAGGUACUUCCAACCUAAGACCUCACCGCAGUUGCUGCAAUAGAUGUCAGCAACUGAGAAAACACCUGAUAUGAGCUUCCUGUCCUCCUUUUGCCCCACAAUGAUGUUCAUUGCAUGAGAGAACAAAUAUGCCGGCCCAGUUUUCCCCUAAACAACGAAAUCCGAAAAUCGAAUUGUAAGUUCUUCUAGGUCAUAAAAGUGCUUCAUGGAGAAGCACCAUCAUGAAGCACUCCCAACUGCUUAUUUCAAGAAGCACUAGAAUUAUAGAUAAAUUAAGCAAAAUCCUAAUAAGCCCGGAGAGAAAACAACAUUGAUCAAGCACCGUGUGAUACCAUUGCUGAUUUUAGUUCUCAAACCUAAAUAUUAACGAAAAUAAGAGAACAUAAUAUAUUUUUCGUGUUUCAGUUUUCACCACAAAUUUCUUGGAGAUAAGGUCGUCACGAAGAGCAAGAGGAUUACGGCAACUUCUGCAGCUGAAGAAGGGGUUGCCGCCGGAUUCCGCCAUUAAACUGAAAGAUUUCAACACCAAGUAAAUAACAGUCAGAUCCUGCUAAAGUAUAUAGAUAUAUACAUAUACAGAUGGAGGAUAAAAAUGGAAAAAAGAAGAAUUGAAAUCUUCAUACAUGGAGGAGAGUCAAGAAACUCCGCUCCUAAGAUUGAAGAAUAAUAAGGAGAGGGAGGCAUAUUUGUAGAGUUUGGAGAGUUGACUGGAAAUAGUAUUGGAGACUUGGAGUUGGAAAAUAUGGAUGAGGUUGAUGAAAAGUCAAGGCUAGUGAUGAUGAAAAGUACUAAAAAUAUUAUUAUUAAGUGGAUAAUGGAAAUCAUAUCAUCUACGUCGAGACGGAAAGUACUUGACAGGUUGGUAAGAUAUAAUUGUUAGACAAGUUGGUAAGAAAUAAUUGUUAGACGGGAUGUGAUAUUCACACAUUUUUUUUAUUUCUCACAUACAUUUUUAAUUUUCGACUUUUGGAUCAGAUAAAUUGAAAAAAAUCAAGGGAUAUAAAUCAACAAAAGGUGUGUGAGAAGUAAAAAUUGGUGUGUGGAUAGCAUACCCUUUGUUAGACAAGUGGUUAACCUAGUCAAUAAUAUCAAUAUUAUGCUGAAAAUGUAUAGAUAGCACGUUAAAACGUUUUGAGUUAUGAUGGAGUGAGAGACAUAAUAAUGUGUCAUUAUACAUUACAAUCAAUUACUUUGAUACAUAACAAAUGUUCUUCCAACAAUCGAUUGUUUUCAUCACCAUAAGAGUCCGUUUGGUGGCCUGAAUGGGAAUGAGUCUAAAAGAAAAAAUUUAAUUAUCAGAGACAUGUAAGACAUAACUUGUAACCCAUGUAUAAUAAUAGGUUAGAUAAUCCACCAUAUUGAGGAUUCAUAACCUAUCAUUUACAAUCCUGUCUCAUUUUAAUUUGUUACAACCUAUUCUAACUAACCUACCACACAGCCCCUAAAAGACAUAACCAAUUAAUAACUUAGCAGGCACUACAUGGACUCCUCUACUUUCCUUCAUAUAGCUGAUAGCAACAAUACUUUCCUCUACUUUACUUCAGAGCUAAUAGCAACAGUACUUGUGUUGGUGUUAAGUCGUAGUCAUUGAGACAAAAAAGCAACACCAAAAUAUACAAAGAACUAGCAUACAAUAAGCAACGAUAAUUAGACAGAAUUGUACUAUAUAGACUUAUGUGAUAUGUUGCCUACUCGUAUGGAAGUAGACAAUACCGCCUACCUUGACAGAAUAUCACUUGCGUAAAUCAUUAGAGUAUAUUAUACUUACGCGACUCAUCAAAUAAAGUUUGUCUAGUGAUUGAUUGUACCAUUGGAUUUAACAUUUUUAGGAAUAUGAAAAUAAAAAAGGAACAAGACAAGUAAGGGGGGAAUCGAGAGUAGAGAGGUUUGAAGAUAAGAGUUCGUUUGGAUGUGAUUUUAAAAUAAUUAAAAAUAUUUUUUGUGAAAAAUAUAAGUAAAUCCUAUAUAAAAAUAUAAGUACUUUUUAGAAGAAGCACAAACUAAUGCUUAUUGUAGAAAAUACUUCAAAUACUUUUGAAAUUCAAAAAUAUUUUUUCUAAAAACGCUUUUAGUUAUUUUAAAAAAUAUCUAAACGAGCUAUAAUUUAUUAUCUAAUCUAACAAAUCUACACCGUACUGUGAGAAGAAGAAGAAAGAAAAGAAAAAAAAAAAAUUUUGCCCGCUCUCCGGUCUCCUAUCAUCUCACUCUUGCUCUCAUUCUCUACUGAGAAAAACCAGAAGCGUUCAUCUUCCUCUGCUCUUCCUUUCUCUCCACUCUUCAUAUCUCUCGCCGUGGAGCCAACAAACCAAGCAGCUAGUGACGGUCGACAAGCCUCAAACAUGGCGGACGCGUAUUGGAGGUACAGCGAUGGUCGACAACCGCCGGCCUCGACGAUGAAUUCAGUCGUCGGAAAGCGUCCUCGCUCCGAUUACGGUAUGUUAAAUUCCUCCAAUUUCCGUUCUUUUUUGGGUUUCCUCUCUCCAUUUUGCGUUUGUUUGAUGCUUGAUUAAAUUAGGGUUCUUGGGAUUUUAGUCUCUUACUGGCUGCUCUGAAAGCAGAAUUGUUCAAGUACAAAUACAAAAUGAAAAAUCUAAGAUAAGAAAUGUGAAUAAAAAAUGGGAAUUUCAAUAAGCUGACUUCCAAGUAGUCGAACUAGGUUUUCACUGGGCUGAGGAAUUGAAAUUUGGGAUCUUUUGAUCUAUGUUGUAUGUGGUUUAAUCAUUAUUUGAUAUUUACGUGGUUAGGUUAUUAAGGCAUUUUUACAAUUUUCGGAUAUGUAUAUUUGUUGCUUCUAUGGUUAUUUCUGAGAUAUAAUUGCUUAGAUUAUAUGAUAAAUUUGUAUUCUUGUUAGUUUUCUGUGCUCUAUUUGGUGUUAUUUACGCGAUUUUGAGUGUAAACCUUGUUCAAAGCAUGCAUAUGAGAGUUAAAAUGAGUAUUACUAAUCUUGUUAUGCACAUUUUUGAAGAUUUUUCGAUCUGUUGUACGCAUUCAUGAGGAGGGGUAGUCUAUAUAUUUUGGACACCGUUUGUUGGUAAUAUCAGCAAGCAACGUGCUGGCUGGUCCCGGCUCCUAGAUCAUAUUCGUUAGCAGUUUAUGUUAAGUGUCAACAUCCCCGGCGGCUGUUAAUAAUUAUUUCAGCUCUAAUAAAUGCCCGGUUUGAUUCAAGGAUCAGCCUUUUAUGCCGAGUUCUGUAAGCCUUGAUAGGUGUACAGAUUGUAUUAUACAUGAGUUUUUUAAUUGAAAUUAUUUGAAGAUAUGCUACCAUGUAGGAUCACUACAGUUACUCUAUAAACUACUAAGGUGCUAUCAUUAAAUGCGAAAGGAAAAUUCAAGUGGUCGUGUUAGCAUAUGCAAUAUAUUGAGAUGUCGUUAGGUUGUCAGCAGUUUAACUUAUUAUUCACUUGUUUAUAGCUUUAUGUCACCAUCUGCGUUUAUAAUCAUAUGCCUUCAAACAUUGUUUCUUUAUUUUCUCGUUUGGUAUCCUGAAGUACAUCCUUAAUCUUUUAGAUGCCCAGGGUGGUCAUGACCUCCCUAACUAUUAUCCCCAAGAAGAUGAUAGAGGUUCUAUCCGAGCAAUUAGAGAUACCGACUCCAUAAAUGCGUCGUAUGAUCGUUACCUGCGCAGUGCGGUACCUACUUUUCUCUUUCUGGAACCGUCACAAUUUUUUACCAUAUGUUUUAAGUUUUGGGGGCUAAUGUUACAUGUAAUGUUUCAGCAAAUUUCAUCAUAUAGCGGAGGGCAGUCUGCUAGAAACAUGAGUGGGGGACCACCUGGUCGUGCUGUUGAUGAUCCACGCAUGAUGGGAAUUGGGGGUGUUGACCCAGGGGCACCUGUUAAAGAUAGGGUCUUAGGAAUGGGAAGUGGACGGCCUGACGCUCCCCUUCCUCCUGGUGCUACCAGUACGCUAUUUGUGGAGGGAUUGCCUCCCAACUGUACUAGACGUGAAGUAGCUCGUAUCCUUUAAUUUUUUUAGGGGUUGCAGUUUUAUUUCUCUUUUUAUCAUUACUUGCACUUUACCUUUUUAGAGUUUUCCCUUCACUUGGUUUCAUAGAUAUCUUUAGGCCUUUCGUUGGCUACAAGGAAGUGAGACUCGUGAGCAAGGAAUCGAGACAUGUGAGUUUAUCUUUUGCAAGGAAUAGAUUUAAUUGUUAGUGAUUGAUGGAUUCACAAAUAAUUAACCUGUGCAGCCUGGAGGAGAUCCGCUGAUACUUUGUUUUGUUGAUUUUUUGAGUCCGGCCCAUGCAGCAACUGCUAUGGAUGCAUUGCAAGGUAAGCUUAAUUUUUUAUUUAAUUUGUUGAAAUUAUAGCACCAUAGUUUUGUUGCUUUUUCUUAUGCCAUUGUUGGAGGAGAUGCAUUUCCUAAAAAAAAUUCUCCACUUCACAAGAAGAUGGAUUGGCAAAUGAUAAAAAGGAUUUGCACCAAUAGUAUGGAUUGUUGUUUGGCAGUUCUAUGUAAUUAACCAAAAGAGCCAAUACGUUACCAAAGUUUACAAAUGUAUAGUAGAAUGGGCAGACAAGAUUGCUUUGCUUCAAUUCAUAUGGAAACUUUGUACACAGGAUUUGUGACUUUAAACCCCUUUUAACUUCCAAAGCUACUUUCAACCACUUCAAAGAUUCCCAAACCCUUAGUUUUGUGGCAUUUAUUUUCUGUUUAAAGUGAGAUAAUUCACAAUUCAAGGUGUGGGACUACGUUUUUUAAAGACGACGUGAUUUUUGGGCCAUUUUUAUUGGAUUUACGAGGUGAGCACAGAUUACCGCUGCCCAUAGGUCUUGGUUUCACCCGUGACUUUAAGUUAGAAGUUGCAUGGUCAGCAAAGUCAUCCAGUACCAGGACACCACAAACCAAACUUGUUAAAUUGUUCCAAACACUGGAAGGGAUUGCCUUCAUGGUUCAUUUGUUAUCUUCCAAGGUUCUAUGAAGGCCUUGAAUCUGGUUGGUUUCUCGGGACGUGAUUUUUCCCUUAAUUAGUCAAGUAGGACUGCAAGACUGAUGAGAAUUUUUGUUUGGCCACUCUUGUAAUUCCAGUCUAUGAGUAGUGCUGGGGACAGUGGUGCUCUCAGUAUAGUUAUCUCAUGUUUUAGCCUACACUUUUGUCUUUUGUUCCUGUUAGAUGAAAUCUCAUUAUGAGGUUUCCCUAGCGGUAUUGUAUACUUUAUGUCAAGAGAGAAAGCUCAUCACCUUCAUUUUUGGAAUGAGGGGAGACCCAUUUUUACCAUUCUGUCAAUCUAGGGCGUGUGGCGAACCCAGGUUUGCGACUUAGGUGUGUUGAAAAGUGAUGGGUGUUAAAUAUUUAAGAUAACGGUUUAACGUCUUUAUCUCAUCUAUCUGCUGAUGCCCUCAAUCGGCAUUGAGAACGUACCCAGUUGUUACAGCGUAAAUGGUCAAGCUCGAUUUUGCAGGUUAUAAAUUCGAUGAGCAUGACCGUGACUCGGUCAAUUUAAGGUUGCAAUUCGCUCGCUAUCCUGGUGCGAGGUCAGGUGGUGGGCACCGAGGGAAGCGUUGAAUUAUGCGGUUUUUCAGGUGAUUCACACAAUUUUCGAUCGGUGCAACCGUUUAUUAUUCAUGGCCGUUAGGUGCUGAGUUAAAACUAAAAAAAUCACGCUAAACCGUCGAACGACUCUUCUCUGUAGGACUUGCUUGAUUCGGGAGGUUGUGAUAAUGAGGGGCGAUACAGCAAACUUGCAGUUUCGAGAAUUAAAGGCGCAUAGUUAGGACCAACUCGCUUGGGUGGUUCCCUCUAAUUCUAGAGUGCUUUUCUGUUUAGACACCUGCAGACUUUAUUUCUUUUACUUUGAUUUGAACUGUUCCGUUUCGUUACCAGUAUGAUUACUUACGGAUAUUUUGCCAUGCGUUUGCUAGAAAAUGUAAACUUAAAUAAGUUGAACAUGUUGAAGUCUCCUUGCAUUUGCAUAUGCUCUGGGAUUAGGGUCUAGGUUUGAUAUUUAUUCGGUGAUGAAGUGCGGUGACUGUUGUAGGUUUCGUUUUGUAUUGACAGUAACUGGCUUUUGUGGUAACUGUUGUAGGUCUCGUUUUAUAUUGAAAAUAACUGGCUUUUUCUGUGUUGUUGCUCAUUUUUUUUCUCAAAGAUGUCAUGAAUUUUGUUUGUCGUAAGAGUCAGUACACUAUGUACCAAAUUAUCGCUGCAUGGAAGCAUUCUUGCUUUUGGUUUUCAAGUUUUUUGACUGGGUUUGGGUUGAAUUGUAGAUGGACCUAAUCCUAACAUGAUUCGAUUGUGAUGUACUAGAGUCUACCCUAGAAUCGAAGAAUUAACAUGAUAUCGGAAGAUUUGUCGUAAGGGAUGUUUUUGGAUUUCACUUUCCUACACUACUGGGGAGGCAGCUACUGUAAUUAGGUGCAUAUUAGGGCUUGAUUCUUUUACUAACAUCAUACUCUCCUAUUUUGUUUCUCUUCCCUUUUCAUGGGGUGAUAUUCUAAUAAUCUCCGGGGAGGACGAGGAAGUUCGGUGCAAGUUGAGCACACUGCACCGAACUUCCGGUCCUCCUCCCCGUAGCAUGCCUAGAGUGAGAGUGAGAGUCAAUGACUCAAUGGCAUACCCUUUAACUCUGUAGAGUGAGAGUCAAUGACUCAUUGGCAUGGUAGCACGCGUUCAUUGUAGUCUAGGCAUUAUCCAGUUGGAAAUUUAUGGUUUCAUAUUUUCUUGCAUUUCCACAAGGUCCUAUCUUGUCAUCGGCUAAUAAAUGUUGAAGACAGAGAAAAGAACGACAAUCGUGAUCUUUUUCCACGGAUUCAUUAAGCAUUGCUUUUGCUUCACCGCUGCGGGAACUGCCAAAGUUGGGGUUGGUCUUCUGUAAGAGAAUUGAGGCACCUUUGCUCUUGUGGUUUUGAACGAGCAAAAUAAUGAACUUUCUGUUUGCUGCAAUUGCCGUCCCCAUGAUCAAACCCCUCUCAGGAUGGUAAAUCUUGCACUUGCCAUGUUGUUUGACAAUUGCAAGACCCUUUUCUUGCAGCUGCCAAUACAAAGUAAAUUGUUCUUUAAAUCUGGUACAUAAAACACCCCAAUGAUUACAUUGACUUCCAUGACAACAUUCCCUUUCCCUAGCACAGCCAAGCUCGAGUUGUUCCCCAAUUUUGUUUGAUCAUCAAUUGUUGUCUUCCUCUGUGCAUCAAUGAGAUUCGUCCCUUCUGCUGCUGCAAAGAUCCCAGCCUUCACUCUUCACCAAGCCCCAAUAUUCCUUGAAGCGCAAGAAAUUCUCCAUGAACACCAUCAAACUUUGGGAUUGCAGGUUGCAUAAAGCUGCUUUCAGGCCAUGUGUGGCUGCUGAACGAUAAAACUAGCUCCUGAGUUACAUGCUUUGAUCAGGCCCCGUGAUGGGGCUCUAAUACCAGAUGUUAGAAUCGAGAAUGAACACUUGAUAAAACUAGUAGAUAAAUGUUUGAUUUGCACUCAAUAGUUGGAAGAAUUUCUAUUAAUGAAUUCAAGAGCAACAAUGGCGUUAAACAGCCUUACAAAGAACUGAAAGUUGAAAGUACAGCUCACAUUUUAACAACCCUAAUUACGUGGUACACGACUAAAGUUGGAAACAAACUAAACAACUUGAACCACUACUUGAAACAAGCCAUAGAAACUAGGAAACCCAACCCUAACGGCUAGGAAACCAAAACAACUUCAACGGUGUAGUUUCUGUUCUCUUAUUAUUUCAAUGCCUCUUUUCAUGUCCUUGAUCGUAAGCGUAAACCCUUCGACUUUUGUGCAGCACAUAACACUCUUGGUAGAGCGAGAGGUCGUCCCUUCAUAGAAUGCCCGUGCUCGAACAAGUUCUUCUCUGUAAAAAUCACCUUUAUGAAAUAACCGGUUACUUGUAGGUGUGCAGGUCAUCACUGUCCCUUGCGUGAUGAGUAAUAUCUCUUCAAAUUGUUCCCCCUUUGGAUCAAUAUAGGUGUUCGCCUCAAGAAUCACGGGCUUAAGAUAAUCACAGAAUGCUUCAAACUCCUUUUCUUUCAUAUUAUGAAGCUCCGUAGCCUAGAGGAAGACACAAGUAUACGAGAAAUAUAAAGAGCAAGUCCAACGAAAAUGUAUUGUCCAGAAUUGAACUAGGCCUGCUAUGGCCGUGAGCAUUCAAGCAUAGGUUACCAUUUUUAAUACAAAAUCUUACUCUUUUUAGUGUAUCUAGGCAGAGACGGCGCUUGAUAUUAACCCUAUCUUUCCAGGGAAGAAUAUCGUUGAUAGUUAUUAUGUUGAUGUCUUUAUCCGCUUUCAAUUCGUUUAAUGCACAUGUCAUGAUCCUUUCUUUCAAAUCCAAAGGGAGGCCAUUCUCAUCUAACCAUGAUGCUAUCUGAGGAUUUCUCUUAUUCCUCAUUUCCCUCAACUUUCUGUUCUCCUUUGAUAAUUCAGCUGUCGACUGGGCAUGCAUCUGUUCCACAACAUGUUGGUUUUAGUAUUUUCUAUACAAAAAUUAAUAAAUUAACUUUCUUUGCCAACUUGAAAGGUUUUGUUCAAUUGGAACUUUUAUUCGAAGACUCGGUAGUGAGUACCAACCUGCACAAUUGCAUUGAGAUAUAUCAAAACGAAUAGCAUGCCGAUAACAUUAAUAAGAAUCGCAAAGAGGUCUUCCCAUGCAUAGCUGCUAGUCUGGAGAUUUUGCCCAAAAGAGCUGCAAAAAAGAAACAGAAAACCCUAAAUUCAUUGAGCUCAAGCAAGUCAUAUCACUUCUCUUUGGAAAAUAAUAAUAGCAAUAAUGAAGAACGAACCUUAAAUUUCGUAAGCCCCACCAAAAACAGUGCAAGAAUUUCUGUGGAAAAUCUGUUGAGCUCAAGAUACCAGAUUGAAUGGCAUCAAGAAAUAUACCGAAAUCAAAAGACGUUGCGGUUGGUGGAUUUGCAUGACAUAGAUUAUUUAGAAGCGUGACAUUUCUCAUGAAUGUAUCCUUGUCCUCACAAUAAAAACCUCCAAGUUCACAACCAUUUUCAUUUCGACAAGCAUACUUCCAGCAAUCCAUCAAUCGUUGAAAUGAAAGAAAGUACCAAAGAGCUCCGAAAACCUAAAGGGAUGAAAAUGACGUUAGAAGCUGCAUGAAAAUUUACAAACGUUCUACCAUAUUUAUGUCAGAAAAUACGUUAAUAAACUCAUAGAAUGAUAAAAAUAAACUAAUUAAGUAGUAAGGAAUAGUUAUUUAGUACUACGGUUUAAUGAUAUUCUUCUUCACUUGUAAGUGAGAGGUCUUAUGUUCGAUUCUCGCUAAAGACAAAUUUGAACCACAUUAUUAUGCUAGCCCAUUUAGUCCACUCCCCUAUCCUUGUAGAUAAUAUCGUAUCUUCAAAAAGUAGUAAGGAAUAAGACUUACAUGACUAGCAAGAAUGAACUCAAAGAUUAUGAAAACGCCACGAAUCCAGAAUUUGCCAACACCCUUAAACCAUUUUAUAGGAGUGUCUUGGGUUAUAUGCUCACGCAAUUGAUAAAUGCGUCCAACCCGGACCACGUAUUGCAGCACAAGAAGAGAGUUCACCAUCAUUCUAUAAGAACCCGGGAGCCUUAUUAUUUUUGUGAACGAGAGAAUAACAACCUGUAAAAACCAUAAUGGAUUCUUAAGCCAACAAUUAAACGACAAUGUUGAAUCAAUUAGGAAUCAAUAUCGGUCCUAGUUAGUAGUAAUUAAUAUAGUUCAGAAAGGGAAAGGUUGAUCUCUGACUUGUGGAACAGGAGCAACAGCCAAAACAACAAUUGGCAACCAUUGCUUAAUAAUCCUCCAACGAUUAAAACGAUCCUCAAGAACAUUCCAGAUAAUGUCAUAUGCGUAAAAGAUAUCUGUGAGGAAUCGCAAAUAAAGAGCCGUAACUUUCAACUUUCUGUCCAAUCUGGUACACUUGAUGUCUAUGUUGACUAUAGGAAUGUAUAAAAAUAAAGGAUCCACUGAUACCGCAAACCCACAGAUUAGUAUCAACACAGCACUCCAAACUUGACAAAAUUCCCCAUUCGGAUUUAAGAGUCUUCUAAAUGUUGGUCCAAAACGCCACCUUUCCUUAAUCGCUACUCUCCGUUGUAUCCAUUCUGCACGUUCUCUUCCAAAACGCCAGCUUUCCUUAAUCCCUUCUCUCGGUUGUCUCCUUUCUGCCCAUUCUCUUACAGGGGACGUAACACUAGAAACAUCAAAGUUUACCAGCCAGGAACAAAAACACAAUAAAUUUCAAUAUUUCACUAAUAACCCGAAGCAGUAAGCAUAAUAUAUUUGCAUAUUGGCAGUGAUUUAUUUGUGUAUCUGGUUUACGAAACUAACCUCUUCGUCGGAUUCAACUUUUCCAAAGGAAUCGGGUUUGCACGCUCCCCUGUAGUUGCCGCAGGAUUCGGAUUUGCACUACUGGACAGAACACAAGAAACAUCAAAGUUUACCAACCAGGAACAAAAACACAAUAAAUUUCAAUAUUUCACUAAUAAACCUCAGCAGUAAGCAUAAUAUAUUUGCUUAUGGCAGAUUGAUUUAUUUGUAUAUCUGGUUUACGAAACUAACCUCGGACUUUCAAUUAUCCCUCUCUCAACGGAAAUCGUUAUCUCAGAGGAGCUUAGUGGAUCCAUGUAUAACCCAAAGGAGCUUUCUCGACGUAUACCUCAAGAGUUCUGCUGGUACAGUUGAUACCUGCAAAGAUGGAACAAUAUAGUUCAUGAAAAUUACGAACUACUACGUUCUAGGCCAUGCAUGACCAGUAAUACCUCAAAUCAACGCGGCCUCAGAUUGGGAAGCGUUCUUAGAGUGGAAAUUAGCAAACGAAGAGUCCCCUUUUAAAGAAAACAAGUAAUGAAGUCCAAUCAAAAUAUUAAGUUUCGGAGAAAUUUACCGCUUAUAAAUUUGUUCUUUCCGAUUACAGUUAUCUAGUUUAAUAUUAUUUCAACCUGGCAACUAUAUCCUGGAAACCUACUAGCGGAAAAAUUAAGGGAACUUUCAUGAAAAGAGUUUAAACUAAGUUUAUUUUAAUAAAAAAUUCAUGCUAUAACUUUAUUUAAUUAAAAAGACUUAAAUUUUAAUGAAAAACCCGUGAAUUUUAAUAAAAAGGACAAAAGAACUUACAUUUUAAUGAAAAAGACAUAAUUUUAAUAAAAAUGACAAAAAAUCUGACACGCGGACUCACGGUACACUGUUUAUGAAACUUACCACACUGUUUAUGAAAUUUACUACACUGUUUAUGAAAACUUGCGAUACUGUUUAUGAAACUUACGACACUAUUUAUGAAAAUUUACUACAAAGAGUUCCUCAAGAACCAUACAGCUUAUUUAAUCUCCCAUGAUUGCUGCAUGAGAUACCCAGUUGUUCCUCCCUUCUUUUCAGGGCCGUCUCUGAGAUUUCAGGGCCCUGUGCCAAAUUUAUAAAAGAGGCUCUUCUUAAGACAACCAAAAAAAAAAAAAAUUAAUUGAACAAAGUAUUGAUGCUAAAAAGCAAUAUUGAAACAAACUUUAAAACUCAAACUAAUCAUCGGUUUCUAAAUAUCAUUAAAUGUAAAGAAAGGUACAAAAAUAACCAUAUUAUUAAAUAAUCAACAAUUAGUUCAAUCCUAAGAAACCAAAUAAACAAAACUUUAAAAAGUCUAGCAUUGAAGUUUCACUUAAAGAUGCUUCUUCGUGCAUUCUUUGCUGCAAAAUCAUCAAUUAAACCUUCAUAAUCAAUUUUGUGUAAAAAACCACUUUCAAUCGAUAUCAAAGCAAGUCCAUUUAACCUUUCCUGCAACAUAGUUGAUCGCAAGUAUGAUUUUAAUAACUUUAACUUUGAGAAACUUCUUUCCACAGAUGCAACGGUAACAAGUACAGUCACCAAAUUCUGUACGCAGUGCUUGCAGUCGCGCAUCCUCUUCAAAUAGUUCAAUAUGUCAAUUGAUGUCUUCAUUUCUUUCGGCAAAGGCUCUUGUAAAAGCUUCAACUCUACAAAUAAUGCAUCCCCAUCAACAUCAAAGAACUCACAUUUCUUGAGAAAGUUUUGAAGGCGGUCACAACAAUCUUUCAAUUUAUCAUUGUCCAUCGAAUUCAACCUUUCUGAAAUGAACAAAAACCCAAAUAUAUCAUCAUAUGCUUGAUAUUCUUCAAAUCUUCUCUUCAAUGAACCAAUAGCUUGAUCUAUUAUAUAUAAGAAGUAAUGAACCCUAAAAGAUUCAUCCGCUGAUUGUUCAGUUGAUUAGGAUGAUUCGUCAUCACUCUCAUCAAAGUGUCUCUUUCUACGAACUUGACGCUUUUCCGGAAACACGGAAUCAAUUUCCAUUUCAAUAGCAAGUUUUUUAGCAUUAAUCAUGUCCUCUGCAAACCCAGUUUCUCUAUACUUUUCAAAAUAAGCAAUCAAUCCCUGCACUUGUUCUAUAGCAACAUUAAUACAUAUGUCUUUAGAUUGCAAGUCUUUGCUAACCUCAUUAAUAGCAGCCAAUACUUCGUACCAAAUAGUCAUGCCCAAUAAAAAUUCAAAAUUCCCAAUUUCAUUUGUUGCCAAAGAUUUAGUUGCACCUCUUGUUACUAAGUUAUUGUCACUUUCUGCUAGUUGGAGUAAAGUUUUUUUUAUUUGUACAGGUUAUGAUUGAAUUGUUUUAACACUCACAACAUGGCUUUCCCAUCGUGUGGCCAACAAUGAUUUGAGAGUCAUUCAUUUUAUAUUUUCUUUCAGAAUCUGCCAUCGUUUUGUAGAAUUAGCGAACAAGCUAUAAAUACGUUGUACUGUUCCAAAAAAAGUCUUUAGUUUUGCCACAAGAGUUUGCCAUAUCACAAAGAGUUAAGUUGAGACUAUGGCAACCGCAUGGAGUAUACAUUGCCCUAUGAUUUAUAUCCAAAAGCCUCUUCUGUAAACCUUGGUGUCUCCCUUUCAUAUUUGAUCCAUUAUCAUAUCCUUGCCCUCUCACAUCAUCAAUAUCAAGAUCAAAAGCUUUUAAUAGAUUCUGUAACUCUUCAAACAAUCCUUGUCCAGAUGUGUUAUUCACAUUCAGAUACUGCAAAAAAUAUUCUUCUACUUUUACUGGAGUACUAUUCACAUCCACACGUCUUAAGAUCAAAGUCAUCUGUUCUUGGUGGCUAAUAUUAGGAGUACAAUCAAGUAUCACAGUAAAAUAUUUAGCUUCUUUUAUUUUCUGAAUGAUUGCAGCUUUGAUUUCACAAAAUAUCAACAAUAUCAAUUCAUUCUGGAUGGUAUGACUAAGAUAAUGGUAACGAAUCUCAUUUUUUUGAAAACGUUGAAGAUGUUUCUUUAUCGGUGGAUCAGAUUCAGCCAUCAUUUGAACAAGGCCCAUAAAAUUUCCAUUGCUUUCUUCAUAAAGCGUAUCGUUUGUUCCACGAAAUGCCAAAGUCUAUUUAGCUAGAUAUUUCACAAUGGAAAUCAACAUUCGUAGUAACUCCCUCCAAUGCCCUUUUUCUUUCUUGAUUUGGUUCUGCACAUCUUUGUCAAUUGUUUCAUUUUUUUUCCAAUCAAAGACGCAAAUCAAUCCAAGUGGUCAUGUUCGAGAUGUGAUCAGAACUGAUUUCAUGCUCUUUAAGCCUCACACUGAGAUGUGUCCAAUCUUUGUAGCCCUCAUUUGCUAAUUGACCUUUGAGAUGCCCUUUCUUAAACAAUUUGCAACAAAAACAGAACACUUUAUCAAUAUCUUUUGAAUGCACUAGCCAAUCUCUAUCAUGUUUCUCUCUAUUGGACAAGUAUCAAAUGUAAAAGGCUGCAUUAAAACGCCUAUUAAACUGAUCUUUAGGACCUUUCUCAAUUGAUAGAUCUCUUACAGGAUCUUUUUCUACUAACAAAUCAAUCCAUUUGGGAUCAAGACUAUCCCAAAUUUGAGGAUCAUAAACGUUCGAGGGAAUGGACUCACUCGGUUGUCCAGUGAAGACAUUAUGAGCAUCAUCAUAAUUAUCAAUCUCUUCAAGAAUGUCAUCAAUUUCAUCAUGGCCCAAAUCAUCAACUAAUUUCUCAUUGUCAAUGUGUUGUUCAUUAACUAAAUCAUCCACCGAACUUUGUGGUUCUUUUUCUUUAACAAAAAACCUAUCAAUAGCUCAUUUUUUAGACUGAGUCAACUGUUCAACCCUUCUUUUUCUUUGAUGCUUCAAGUAGCCAGAUGAAUAUUUUCUAGUAAGUGUCAUCUUUUAUAUCUCAAACAAGAUCACAAUUAAAUUAUAAUAAGUAUGAACAAUAAAACCUGAUAGUCCGCAAUGUGUGUGCGUCUAGUAUUUUUUGCGAUUGCUCCCUCUUGUUGUGAUGAUUACUUGAUUAAUUUCUAUGAGUUUUGCCCUGAAAAGUAUACAAGAAAAAAAUUCAUUAUAGAUGAGAAAUACCUAAAUUUUCAAAUUUCAACUUCAUAUACUUAAAUUUAUAAAUUACUUACUUUAAUCGAAGUCUGCAUCAUUUUGAUCACUUGAACUGUCUUCGUAAUUUGAAAAUUUCUAUUCAAUUGGAUGAAAUUAUGAACUAGGGUUUAGUGGUUUGUGGGGGGAAAAAGCAGUGGAGAGAGAACUCGGAUGCAAUGGGAGGGAUGAGGCGUCAAAGGAAAAAAAAAAGACUCUUAAGUCUCUGAUUAGACUUUAGCGUGAAAAAUAAGGAAAAAAGUGAGAUAUAGUUUUAUAAAAUAUAUAAUUUCAUAAGGAAUUGAUGGGUGUGUGGGAUUAUAGGCAUGUAGCCAGUAGUAUUGUGGGCCUACUCCUAUUAUAUAUAUUAUAUCUAUUGUGUUGGUUAGAUUUUAUAUGAUAUUUUUAUAUAACUACAUUUAAUAUAAAAUUAUUCUGGGGGCCCCUCAAAUUUUGGGACCCUAUGCAAAGGAACCUAUCAGACUCCUCCAAAGCCGGCACUGGGUUUGAGAUCUCGUCGGAGUCACUACACCGUGACUGCACAGUGUCGAGGGAUGAGAAUGAGUGAGAGUGGGAUGUGAAGGAGAAAAGGAAAGGGUCCUGGUGGCAGCAAUGGUGGUGUGAUGGUUGUAGUGUGUGUGCUGGUUGCAUCAGAGGGAAGAGAACCGAGAGAGAUAUAUAGACAGACACUAGUACAUAACAGCAUAUUUACCACGUCAAUUCCAUCACGGGCAUCAACAACUCGUGGUAGAAACUAUUCAAUUACCACGGUCAAGUGUCGCUCGUGGUAGAUAACAUUAAUCCACCACGGUUAGAUUCCGGCCCGUUGUUAAAAGUGAAUAAUCUACAACGGUUUUUAAUUCCGUGAUGGAAUAUCAAAACCACCACGCGAUAUGCUCGUAGUGGUUACUUCAAACGACCACACCGCCUUUUGAAAAUUCACCACGCCAUCGGCCCGUGGUGGAUGUUUUUAUGUUUUUUUUUAAAUAUAUUUAGAAUCAUUAUAUUAUUGAUUAUUUAUUACUAUAUUGAUUAUUGAUUGCAACAAAAAAUUUCUUUCAUAAUUUAUUAUUUAUUAUUAUAUUUGAAAUACUACACUUUUGUUUAACUUUUAAAUCCGAUAAUAUCCAAUAGUCCUAAUUAAAAGUGAUGCGGAGAAUUUCAAUCAAUAAAUGACAUGGUUACAAAUAAUGAUAAAUAAAAUCUACAAAACGUGGGAGGGAGGCAAGGAGACCUCCAUUGCUUUUGUGACUACCCAGAACACCCAAAUUUUGGUUUGUCUUCAUUGCGAUUUGACCAAAACAAAUAAAAAGUGAUAAUUACAAUUCAAGAACUAUGUAAAAUAAAAAUAGAACUAUAUAUUUAAAAUUUAAGAUAUCAAAAUUUUACCAUAAUUACAACAUAAAAACUUCUAUGUAUAAUUUUAUUUAAAUUUAUUAGCCCAUUAGUGGGUGUUGCGCCGUAUCAGAGUCCCAAUAUACUUUUAGUUUUAUGGCUAUAAGAGAGUCCCAAUGAUGAUAUAAUUGUAAAACAACUAACAUAUAAUAAAGGUUAAUAUAAUUUUUAUUGGAAAGAAAACUUAAUUAAAAACCCACUAAGCGAGGAAACUGCCGUUCAAGUUCCCACCAGUUGCUUGCAGUUAUAUUUGGUUAUCCCCUCAAUCCUUCUCUUCACAUCCUUCUUUUUUUCUAGGACGCAAAAGAUUAUUCACUGAUCUCUCUAUAUAAAUUUGGUAUGAAUUGAGUGGUCUUGUAGUUGCAUUUGGCUCUUUUGCGAUACUCUCACGAUCUCUCAAGCUCUCAGCCCUCUCACUAUCUCUUUCUCUCAGUGAGUUUGAUUUGGAUUGUCUUUCUCUUUCAGGUUGGAAUCUCGGUUUCAGACUAUAUAGUCUUGAUUCUGGUAUGUCAGUUUCGUAGGGUUUCUUUCUACGAAUUUUCUUGGUGUUAUUUCAUCAUUUUUCCGCAAAUUUCAACCCUAUCUAUUCUCCAUAAGUUCUCUCGUUGUUUAGGGUUUUUUCGUUUUUUCUAUGUUUUACUUCAUCACUAAUUGCUAAUAUUGUUGGAGGAUUUUUUGUAAUCGGAGCUAUUCCAAUUAGUACGCUGGCUUUUUUUUUUUUUUUGUCAUUUGUUAUCACUGAUGAUUUAUAAUGUAAUUGUUGUUUUGGGAUUUUGAGGAGGUGCGUUGAUGAUGUGCCAUCAAUGUCAGAGGAACAACAAGGAUUGGGUAGUUCGCUGUAAAGAGUGUAAGAGGAAACGAUUUUGUAUUCCUGAUCUGCUAUAUAUUGCUUUAAUAUUUCUGAUUAUAACUUACUAAAGAUCGAUGUUGGGUUCGUAGAAUCCAGUAAAUGAUAUUUGAUUUGGUUUCAAAAGGAGAAAGGGGUUACAAUUUACAUUCUUAUCUGGUUGGUGAUAGAAUAAUGUGCAUUUGGUCUUGAAAACUUCUUGAAUGGAGGAUGCUGUAUCUAGUACAAUUGCUUGGCUAUCAAAGUACGUUCGAGUUGGAGAGUAAUUUUAGUUCGUACUUACACUAGAAAAUGGUACUUUGACACUACAUAGAUAGUACUUUAUGACUUCUGUUUAUGUAUUCAUUAGGCACUACAUGGAUAGUACUUUAUGACUUCCGUUUAUGUAUUCAUUUGGAAACUCAAGUAUUUUUAAAUUAUGUUAUAAUAUUAUCAAGUAUUUUUUAUGUGCUUAUUAUAUUGUAGUAAAUAUGCAAUUUUGUUGGUUAUUCUAUACUAAAAUAUAUAAAUACAGAUAUAUAU